rnacentral:rRNA from 1 species
UACGUAGGGUGCAAGCGUUAAUCGGAAUUACUGGGCGUAAAGCGUGCGCAGGCGGUUUUGUAAGUCUGUCGUGAAAGCCCCGGGCUUAACCUGGGAAUGGCAUUGGUGACUGCACGGCUAGAGUGUGUCAGAGGGGGGUAGAAUUCCACGUGUAGCAGUGAAAUGCGUAGAGAUGUGGAGGAAUACCGAUGGCGAAGGCAGCCCCCUGGGUCAAGAUUGACGCUCAUGCACGAAAGCGUGGGUAGCGAACAGG